GCCCACUUGCCACUGUCCAGGCCCUUCUACCUGGACCCCAUGGUUACUGUCCACCUAUGCCCCGACGCCCCGGUGCCGGCCCCUUACACGGACGAGCUGCCUCUGCUGCCCUUUUCCAGUGACACCCUGAUCAUGGACAAUUACGGGGACCCAUACCCCUUCCCCUUCCCUAUGCCUUACACCAACUACAGGCGCUGUGACUAUACCUAUGGGCCGGCCUUCAUCCGCAAGAGGAACGAGCGAGAGAGGCAGCGAGUCAAGUGUGUGAACGAAGGCUAUGCCCGGCUGCGACGGCACCUGC
rnacentral:lncRNA from 1 species